AAAUUGAAGAGUUUGAUCAUGGCUCAGAUUGAACGCUGGCGGCAGGCCUAACACAUGCAAGUCGAGCGGUAGCACAGAGAGCUUGCUCUCGGGUGACGAGCGGCGGACGGGUGAGUAAUGUCUGGGAAACUGCCUGAUGGAGGGGGAUAACUACUGGAAACGGUAGCUAAUACCGCAUAAUGUCGCAAGACCAAAGUGGGGGACCUUCGGGCCUCAUGCCAUCAGAUGUGCCCAGAUGGGAUUAGCUAGUAGGUGGGGUAACGGCUCACCUAGGCGACGAUCCCUAGCUGGUCUGAGAGGAUGACCAGCCACACUGGAACUGAGACACGGUCCAGACUCCUACGGGAGGCAGCAGUGGGGAAUAUUGCACAAUGGGCGCAAGCCUGAUGCAGCCAUGCCGCGUGUGUGAAGAAGGCCUUCGGGUUGUAAAGCACUUUCAGCGGGGAGGAAGGCGUUAAGGUUAAUAACCUUGGCGAUUGACGUUACCCGCAGAAGAAGCACCGGCUAACUCCGUGCCAGCAGCCGCGGUAAUACGGAGGGUGCAAGCGUUAAUCGGAAUUACUGGGCGUAAAGCGCACGCAGGCGGUCUGUCAAGUCGGAUGUGAAAUCCCCGGGCUCAACCUGGGAACUGCAUUCGAAACUGGCAGGCUAGAGUCUUGUAGAGGGGGGUAGAAUUCCAGGUGUAGCGGUGAAAUGCGUAGAGAUCUGGAGGAAUACCGGUGGCGAAGGCGGCCCCCUGGACAAAGACUGACGCUCAGGUGCGAAAGCGUGGGGAGCAAACAGGAUUAGAUACCCUGGUAGUCCACGCUGUAAACGAUGUCGAUUUGGAGGUUGUGCCCUUGAGGCGUGGCUUCCGGAGCUAACGCGUUAAAUCGACCGCCUGGGGAGUACGGCCGCAAGGUUAAAACUCAAAUGAAUUGACGGGGGCCCGCACAAGCGGUGGAGCAUGUGGUUUAAUUCGAUGCAACGCGAAGAACCUUACCUGGUCUUGACAUCCACAGAACUUUCCAGAGAUGGAUUGGUGCCUUCGGGAACUGUGAGACAGGUGCUGCAUGGCUGUCGUCAGCUCGUGUUGUGAAAUGUUGGGUUAAGUCCCGCAACGAGCGCAACCCUUAUCCUUUGUUGCCAGCGGUCCGGCCGGGAACUCAAAGGAGACUGCCAGUGAUAAACUGGAGGAAGGUGGGGAUGACGUCAAGUCAUCAUGGCCCUUACGACCAGGGCUACACACGUGCUACAAUGGCAUAUACAAAGAGAAGCGACCUCGCGAGAGCAAGCGGACCUCAUAAAGUAUGUCGUAGUCCGGAUUGGAGUCUGCAACUCGACUCCAUGAAGUCGGAAUCGCUAGUAAUCGUAGAUCAGAAUGCUACGGUGAAUACGUUCCCGGGCCUUGUACACACCGCCCGUCACACCAUGGGAGUGGGUUGCAAAAGAAGUAGGUAGCUUAACCUUCGGGAGGGCGCUUACCACUUUGUGAUUCAUGACUGGGGUGAAGUCGUAACAAGGUAACCGUAGGGGAACCUGCGGUUGGAUCACCUCCUUA
rnacentral:rRNA from 1 species